rnacentral:lncRNA from 1 species
UGGAAGGCUCUAGGGGAAUAAAGAUGGAAUCACUUCUAAUUUUUAGGUCCGUAUGAUUUGAAAUACUUGCACACGAACCCCGAGAAAGCAUUCCUGGAAAUCUCGGCCCAAAAAAGGACGUUUAGUAAUUCUAAAAGGGACUACAAGAUGAAAAACAAUAAUUUCGGCAGUUAAAGUUUGAGAAUCGAUGGUGCCGUAGAUCCGUUUGGUCAUCAGGUGUUACGUGCACACCCAUGUCUAGCUUGAAUAGUGUGUCAGGCUCAGGCUAGAGAAGAAACGGGGAACAAACUGAUGAAAGAGUUAUCAUACCGAGGGAAUUCACUCAGAAUUAACAAGAAUGACAACGUGCUCCGACUUGAGCGGUUUAGGAACUGCUGGAAGGCUCUAGGGGAAUAAAGAUGGAAUGACUUCUAAUUUUUAGGUCCGUAUGAUCUGAAAUACUUGCACACAAACCUCGAGAAAGCAUUCCUGGAAAUCUCGGCCCAAAAAAGGACGUUUAGUAAUUCUAAAAGGGACUACAAGAUGAAAAACAAUAGUUUUGCCAGUUAAAGUUUGAGAUUCGAUGGUGCCGUAGAUCCGUUUGGUCAUCAGGUGUUACGAGCCACACCCAUGUCUAGCUAGAAUAGUGUGUCAGGCUCAGGCUAGAGAAGAAACAGGGUACAAACUGAUGAAAGAAUUAUCAUACCGAGGGAAUUCACUCAGAACUAACAAGAAUGAUAACGUGCUCCGACUGGAGCGGUUUAGGAACUGCUGGAAACCUCUAGGGGAAUAAAGAUGGAAUGACUUCUAAUUUUUAGGUCCGUAUGGUUUGAAAUACUUGCACACAAACCGCCCGAAAGCAUUCCUAGAAAUCUCGGCCCAAAAAAUGACGUUUAGUAAUUCUAAAUGGGAAUACAAGAUGAAAAACAAUAGUUUUGGCAGUUAAAGUUUGAGAUUCGAUGGUGUCGUAGAUCCAUUUGGUCAUCAGGUGUUACGAGCCACACCCAUGUCUAGCUAGAAUAGUGUGUCAGGCUCAGGCUAGAGAAGAAACGGGGAACAAACUGAUGAAAGAAUUAUCAUAACGAGGGAAUUCACUCAGAACUAACAAGAAUGAUAACGUGCUCCGACUGGAGCGGUUUAGGAACUUCUGGAAGCCUCUAGGGGAAUAAAGAUGGAAUGACUUCUAAUUUUUAGGUCCGUACGAUUUGAAAUACUUGCACACAAACCCCAAGAAAGCGUUUCUGGAAAUCUCGGCCCAAAAAAGGACGUUUAGUAAUUCUAAAAGGGACUACAGGAUGAAAAACAAUAGUUUUGCCAGUUAAAGUUUGAGAUUCGAUGGUGCCGUAGAUCCGUUUGGUCAUCAGGUGUUACGAGCCACACCCAUGUCUAGCUAGAAUAGUGUGUCAGGCUCAGGCUAGAGAAGAAACAGGGUACAAACUGAUGAAAGAAUUAUCAUACCGAGGGAAUUCACUCAGAACUAACAAGAAUGAUAACGUGCUCCGACUGGAGCAGUUUAGGAACGGCUUGAAGGCUCUAGGGGAAUAAAGAUGGAAUGACUUCUAAUUUUUAGGUCCGUAUGAUUUGAAAUACUUGCACACAAACCCCGAGAAAGCGUUCCUGGAAAUCUCGGCCCAAAAAGGACGUUUAGUAAUUCUAAAAGGGACUACAAGAUGAAAAACAAUAGUUUUGGCAGUUAAAGUUUGAGAAUCGAUGGUGCCGUAGAUCCGUUUGGUCAUCAGGUGUUACGAGCACACCCAUGUCUAGCUUGAAUAGUGUGUCAGGCUCAGUCUAGAGAAGAAACGGGGAACAAACUGAUGAAAGAAUUAUCAUACCGAGGGAAUUCACUCAGAAUUAACAAGAAUGAUAACGUGCUCCGACUUGAGCGGUUUAGGAACAGCUGGAAGGCUCUAGGGGAAUAAAGAUGGAAUGACUUCUAAUUUUUAGGUCCGUAUGAUCUGAAAUACUUGCACAAAAACCUCGAGAAAGCGUUCCUGGAAAUCUUGGCCCAAAAAAGGACGUUUAGUAAUUCUAAAAGGGACUACAAGAUGAAAAAUAAUAGUUUUGCCAGUUAAAGUUUGAGAUUCGAUGGUGUCGUAGAUCCGUUUGGUCAUCAGGUGUUACGAGCCACACCCAUGUCUAGCUAGAAUAGUGUGUCAGGCUCAGGCUGGAGAAGAAACAGGGUACAAACUGAUGAAAGAAUUAUCAUACUGAGGGAAUUCACUCAGAACUAACAAGAAUGAUAACGUGCUCCGACUGGAGCGGUUUAGGAACUGCUGGAAAGGUCUAGGGGAAUAAAGAUGGAAUGACUUCUAAUUUUUAGGUCCGUAUGGUUUGAAAUACUUGCACACAAACCGCACGAAAGCAUUCCUAGAAAUCUCGGCCCAAAAAAUGACGUUUAGUAAUUCUAAAUGGGACUAUAGGAUGAAAAACAAUAGUUUUGGCAGUUAAAGUUUGAGAUUCGAUGGUGCCGUAGAUCCGUUUGGUCAUCAGGUGUUACGAGCCACACCCAUGUCUAGCUAGAAUAGUGUGUCAGGCUCAGGCUAGAGAAGAAACGGGGAACAAACUGAUGAAAGAAUUAUCAUAACGAGGGAAUUCACUCAGAACUAACAAGAAUGAUAACGUGCUCCGACUGGAGCGGUUUAGGAACUGCUGGAAGGCUCUAGGGGAAUAAAGAUGGAAUGACUUCUAAUUUUUAGGUCCGUAUGAUUUGAAAUACUUGCACACAAACCCCGAGAAAGCGUUCCUGGAAAUCUCGGCCCAAGAAAGGACGUUUAGUAAUUCUAAAAGGGACUACAGGAUGAAAAACAAUAGUUUUGGCAGUUAAAGUUUGAGAUUCGAUGGUGCCGUAGAUCCGUUUGGUCAUCAGGUGUUACGAGCCACACCCAUGUCUAGCUUGAAUAGUGUGUCAGGCUCAGGAUAUAGAAGAAACAGGGAACAAACUGAUGAAAGAAUUAUCAUACCGAGGGAAUUCACUCAGAACUAACAAGAGUGAUAACAUGCUCCGACGGGAGCGGUUUAAGAACUGCUGGAUGGCUCUAGGGGAAUAAAGAUGGAAUGACUUCUAAUUUCUAGGUCAGUAUGGUUUGAAAUACUUGCACACAAACCGCACGAAAGCGUUCCUGGAAAUCUCGGCCCAAAAGAGGACGUUUAGCAAUU